CUUGAGCGAGCCGAGCCACAGGGGCUGCUCACGGUCCUGUCCGUACGUGGCCAGGAGUGCCUGCGCCUC
rnacentral:antisense_RNA from 2 species